CGCAAUGGUCGAAAGACUGACGCAGCGACGCCGCGUGCGGGAGGAAGCCCUUCGGGGUGUAAACCGCUGUUACUCGGGACGAACUUCCCGAUUUGUCGGGAUUGACGGUACCGGGGGAGGAAGCACCGGGCUAACUCUGUGCCAGCAGCCGCGGUAAUACCAGAGGGUGCGAGCGUUGUCCGGAAUCACUGGGCGUAAAGGGCGCGUAGGCGGCUUCUCACGCGUGCGGUGAAAGCCCGGGGCUUAACUCCGGGUCUGCCGUGCGAACGGGGAGGCUUGAGUCUGGUAGAGGUCGAUGGAAUUCCGGGUGUAGCGGUGGAAUGCGUAGAGAUCCGGAAGAACACCGGUGGCGUAAGGCGGUCGACUGGGCCAGUACUGACGCUGAGGCGCGACAGCGUGGGGAGCAAACAGGAUUAGAUACCCUGGUAGUCCACGCCGUAAACGAUGGGCACUAGAUCCUUGGGGGAGCGACCCCUUGAGGGUCGGCGCUAACGCAUUAAGUGCCCCGCCUGGGGAGUACGGCCGCAAGGCUG
rnacentral:rRNA from 1 species